rnacentral:rRNA from 1 species
AUACGGAGGAUCCGAGCGUUAUCCGGAUUUAUUGGGUUUAAAGGGUGCGCAGGCGGCCAUUUAAGUCAGCGGUUAAAUCGUGGGGCUCAACCCCAUUCUGCCGUUGAUACUGGGUGGCUUGAUUGCGGUCGAGGUUGGCGGAAUUCGUUGUGUAGCGGUGAAAUGCAUAGAUAUGACGAACAACACCGAUUGCGUAGGCAGCCGACCAAACCGCAAACGAAGCUGAUGCACGAAAGCGCGGGGCUCGAACAGGAUUAGAUCCCCUGGUAGUCCGCACAGUAAACGAUGAAUACUUGUUUUCGGCGAUAUAAUGUCCGAGGCAAAGCGAAAGCGAUAAGUAUUCCACCUGGGGAGUACGCCGGCAACGGUGAAACUCAAAUGAAUUGGCGGGG